GUGGCAGCCGCCGCGGCAAUACGUAGGGUGCGAGCGUUAAUCGGAAUUACUGGGCGUAAAGCGUGCGCAGGCGGUUUGUUAAGAUAGGCGUGAAAUCCCCGGGCUCAACCUGGGAACUGCGUUUAUGACUGGCAGGCUAGAGUAGGGCAGAGGGGGGUGGAAUUCCACGUGUAGCAGUGAAAUGCGUAGAGAUCGGAAGGAACACCAGUGGCGAAGGCGGCUCUCUGGCCUAAAACUGACGCUGAGGUACGAAAGCGUGGGUAGCAAACAGGAUUAGAUACCCUGGUAGUCCACGCCGUAA
rnacentral:rRNA from 1 species